UUCGCAAUGCCCGAAAGGGUGACGAAGCGACGCCGCGUGGGUGAGGAAGGCCCUCGGGUUGUAAAGCCCUGUCAGGAGUUAAGAAAUGUAGAUAUGCUAAUAUCGUAUCUAUUUGACAAAGGCUCCAAAGGAAGUCACGGCUAACUCUGUGCCAGCAGCCGCGGUAAUACAGAGGUGGCAAGCGUUGUUCGGAAUUAUUGGGCGUAAAGAGCACGUAGGUGGGUUUGUAAGUCAGAUGUGAAAGCCUCCUGUUCAACGGGAGAAUUGCAUCUGAAACUGCUGAUCUUGAGUGUAGGAGGGGAGAAUGGAACUUCUGGUGGAGCGGUGAAAUGCGUAGAUAUCAGAAGGAACGCCGGCGGCGAAAGCGAUUCUCUGGCCUAUUACUGACACUCAGUGUGCGAAAGCUAGGGGAGCAAACGGGAUUAGAUACCCCGGUAGUCCUAGCCGUAAACGAUGGGCACUAAGUAGAGGGGUUUU
rnacentral:rRNA from 1 species